AGUGCAGUGCAGCUGUGAGCAGCCACAGACAGCAACACGAGUGGUUCCUGCCGACAGCGUCUGCAGAGUGAUCAGAUUGUUCUGUGCGAUGGUUCCACACACC
rnacentral:snoRNA from 1 species